CCCAGAGACUAUGGGUUGAGGAGGAAUUGGAAGUUUGUUGGCUUAGACCUGGUGUCAUUCCAUCAGUGUUAAACUUCCCGGCUCAUCUUGGAAGAGUACGUGCCAGAAAGACCACAACCAAGCUGCCUUGAGAUCUUAGACAGCGUCUCCCUGAGGUCCCUCUCUAUCUCCCCACACAUCCACCAACCACUGGAACACAUCUCCAAAGUUCUGCUGGACCAGCUCAGCUUCCCCUCAGAAGAAGUGCUGCCACCUGCCAGAUGAAGGAGCCUUUUGAGAGGCAGCUGGCAUCGUGAUUGGACUGUACUUUGGUCUGUUCCAAUCCAGCUUCAGCUCCAGAGACGGCAGGCGGGACGAGUCAACGGAGGCCGGAUGGACGAAGGCAUGCAGCUGAGUACAAUCCAGAAAACAACAGAGGAGGAGUGCAGCAGCCCAGAGCCAGAACAACCAGAGUAGCAUGACCAAAGAACUACAGACUCUUCACAACCUGCUCAAACUCUUGGUACAGGACCUCACCACACGGGUCAAGAAGGUUUCCAUCUCAUUUCUAC
ensembl:lncRNA